GGCCUGUUAGCUCAGUUGGAUAGAGCUUCGUACUAGGAGUGCGAAGGUCGUGGGUUCGAGUCCCAUACGGGUCC